AACGAACGCUGGCGGCAGGCUUAACACAUGCAAGUCGAACGCCCCGCAAGGGGGGUGGCAGACGGGUGAGUAACGCGGGGGAACAGACCCUUUUCUACGGAAUAGCUCUGGGAAACUGGAAUAAAUACCGGAUACGCCCUACGGUGGAAAGAUUUAUCGGGAAAGGAUUGGCCCGCGUUGGAUUAGCUAGUUGGUGGGGUAAAGGCCUACCAAGGCGACGAUCCAUAGCUGGUCUGAGAGGAUGAUCAGCCACAUUGGGACUGAGACACGGCCCAGACUCCUACGGGAGGCAGCAGUGGGGAAUAUUGGACCAUGGGCGCAAGCCUGAUCCAGCCAUGCCGCGUGAGUGAUGAAGGCCUUAGGGUUGUAAAGCUCUUUCACCUAUGCAGAUAAUGACGGUAGUCGGAGAAGAAGCCCCGGCUAACUUCGUG
rnacentral:rRNA from 1 species